UACGUAGGUGGCAAGCGUUAUCCGGAAUUAUUGGGCGUAAAGAGCGCGCAGGUGGUUGAUUAAGUCUGAUGUGAAAGCCCACGGCUUAACCGUGGAGGGUCAUUGGAAACUGGUCGACUUGAGUGCAGAAUAGGGAAGUGGAAUUCCAUGUGUAGCGGUGAAAUGCGUAGAGAUAUGGAGGAACACCAGUGGCGAAGGCGGCUUCCUGGUCUGUAACUGACACUGAGGCGCGAAAGUGUGGGGAGCAAACAGGAUUAGAUA
rnacentral:rRNA from 1 species